UUCUUGCUCUCUUUUUCCCUUCAUCUCUCCCCCUCCCCCAAUAAGGUGAGCUAUUUAGAAACAUAUAUCGAGUGUUUAAAGAUUUGAAAAUCAACUGUGAGCAUAGAAUCUCUAGGGGAAAAAAAUAAACAAGAGAACAAGUGAAAUCUGAUUCUGCUGAUGAAAGCAACAAAGAAAAGACCCAUUUGUUGAGAAUGUGUGGUGUGAAACCUGGGUAAAUUCUAGUGAAUUUGCAUAUUCGAAACAGAAAUUUUUCAGGAAGAAAAUCUAUGUGUUACUUUGAGGUGUGCUUUGAAAGAAGAUACCACAUCUAAGGGUGAAGAUUUUUGCUGAAACCAAAAGGGGAUGCAGAUUUGGUCAGCAAGAAAAAAUAACUUUGAAAAUGUGAGAUCACAGGAGAAAUGUAUUACCCGCAUGUUUUGUGUCAAUCUCCUCCAAAUUUGCAUUUUUCUGUUUUCAUGAAGAAAGAAGCCAAGCUUUGGAACUGUUGCUUGAAAUGGAGAACUUAAAGUCUGAGGUUUCACUAAUCCACCAAGGGAAUUGUUAAAGCUGGAGGUUCUCCAACUAGAAAAGACCAGCUCUGUUUCAAGCGGACAGAAAGUCCUGUGAGAAGUGUGCCUUUGGGGGCACAACCUACCAAGAUGUACUCUCACUGAAACCAAAAGAUUCUGCACUCGUGAUCUUGGAAAUGCGUGUAAACGAAGUGUGUGUCCAUUAGGUAGCAGUAGGUGGGACUAUUCAUCAUCCUCUAAAAACUGAUUCAGAUGCUGCCUUCUCCAUAAAGUUUUUCCUAGGUAAUAAUGAGCCUUCUCAUUUAAAUCUCUUGAAGUGAUUUGUUUUUGCACCUUUCUCAA